rnacentral:rRNA from 1 species
UUAGGAUGCUGGCGUAGUAAUCUCGAGACGUGCUUUCCGUGCGGCUCUAUGGACAAGUCCCUUGGAAUAGGGCAUCGUAGAGGGUGAGAAUCCCGUACUUGCCAUGGAAGAACCGUGCUUUGCGAUACACGCUCUAAGAGUCGAGUUGUUUGGGAUUGCAGCUCAAAAUGGGUGGUAGACUCCAUCUAAAGCUAAAUAUCGGGGAGAGACCGAUAGCGAACAAGUACCGUGAGGGAAAGAUGAAAAGCACUUUGGAAAGAGAGUUAAAAGUACGUGAAAUUGUCGAAAGGGAAGCACUUGAAGUCAGCCAUGCUGCUUGAGACUCAGCCUGGCCUUUGGGCUUGGUGUAUUUCUCGGUGGCAAGCCAGCAUUGGUUUGGGUCGUCAGAAAAGCGCAUAGGGAAUC